rnacentral:rRNA from 1 species
UACGGAGGAUCCAAGCGUUAUCCGGAAUCAUUGGGUUUAAAGGGUCCGUAGGCGGUUUGGUAAGUCAGUGGUGAAAGCCCAUGCUCAACGGUGGAACGGCCAUUGAUACUGCCAGACUUGAAUUAUUAGGAAGUAACUAGAAUAUGUAGUGUAGCGGUGAAAUGCUUAGAGAUUACAUGGAAUACCAAUUGCGAAGGCAGGUUACUACUAAUGGAUUGACGCUGAUGGACGAAAGCGUGGGUAGCGAACAGG